CCUUAAUGUGUUCGUGUAUUAUAAAUUUAGCGGUGUGUGACUUUCUUAACAUAUAUCACAUAUAUAUCAAUUAUGCAUAUUAUAAUGUGGUGACGUAAUCAUAGGUGGAAAUAUGUGAACAUUAGGUAUAUUGAUAGAACCAAGUGAUUCACUAGUGAAUACAAGGGAAAAUCGCACGACUUAGAACACAGAAAUGAAAUGAUGUUUAACGUUUAAGACAGUAUGUGUAUGUGAACAUUUCGGGAAGAUAUAUUUAUAAGACUAGAAAUAUGUACUAAGUGCAUAUGUGUGAGUGACGAUCGUGAGCCUAUGUGUAUAUUAAGUAAUAAUAGGAAUAUGGUGACCAAAAAUUUACUUUAAAUAUACCGUGAAAUAUACUGUAUUAAUAGAAUAUUAACAAUCCAUAUAGUAUGCACCAGCAUCACAUAAUCAAUGACCACGGUUCCAAUGAAUAGACAAUGUGAUUUACUGAUUUACAACGAAGGGACGAUAGUGUGCAUGUUAAAUUUUGUGCACUGUUGGUUUAUAAUUUCAAUUUAUUGUAAACGGUUUUACUCGCUACAUUAAAAGGCGAUCUCGUACCUUUCCCCGCUUACGUGCUGUUAACAUAUCAUCUUGUUAUUGAUGUACCUCAGACAGCAUGGCUGCUAUAUUUGUAAUAUUGAUACAAUUGUUGUUUUACACUGAAGUAAUGAAUAAUCCAUGUCCAUCUGAUGAAAAUACUGUACAUGCAUGUACCAACAGUACACGUAAUUAUAGAAAGAUGAAUAUACCUGUUAAUGACAGUAUCGGUGAUGGUUGUAUCUGUGACGUCACGUUGACCAAAACAAACUCAAAUGGCCAAGACACGGUUCAAGUAUCCAAAGGAGACAUUGGGAAAAGGUGUGGAUAUCAAGUGGUUAAUUAUAACAUAUCACUCAAUUAUAGCUGGACGUGUUCUAAUGAUGAGAUAACCAACUUUCCGCUGCGUUUAAAUGAAUCUUUCCAGUUAACAUUUACAAGAAAUUCAACAUCAAACAAAACAUCUACAGGAUUCUGUUUAUGUUUAAAAGCUCUCCAAAACGGCAAGUACU